rnacentral:rRNA from 1 species
AUUGAACGCUGGCGGCAGGCCUAACACAUGCAAGUCGAGCGGAUGAAGGGAGCUUGCUCCUGGACUCAGCGGCGGACGGGUGAGUAAUGCCUAGGAAUCUGCCUGGUAGUGGGGGAUAACGUCCGGAAACGGGCGCUAAUACCGCAUACGUCCUGAGGGAGAAAGUGGGGGAUCCUCGGACCUCACGCUAUCAGAUGAGCCUAGGUCGGAUUAGCUAGUUGGUGGGGUAAAGGCCUACCAAGGCGACGAUCCGUAACUGGUCUGAGAGGAUGAUCAGUCACACUGGAACUGAGACACGGUCCAGACUCCUACGGGAGGCAGCAGUGGGGAAUAUUGGACAAUGGGCGAAAGCCUGAUCCAGCCAUGCCGCGUGUGUGAAGAAGGUCUUCGGAUUGUAAAGCACUUUAAGUUGGGAGGAAGGGCAGUAAGUUAAUACCUUGCUGUUUUGACGUUACCAACAGAAUAAGCACCGGCUAACUUCGUG